rnacentral:lncRNA from 10 species
UCGCAGACUAGAAUGUUUCGGAUUACAGAAGAAACCGGUUCUCUUCACAUCUUUAUCCCUGUGAUGCAGCAUUCCACUUGCAAUUGGAAGCCGAGAGAAACCAUGUUUAUGAAAGUAAAGAGGCUGCUCAGAUGACUGCAAACCAGCCUUCCUUACUGGUUUUAUCACUGGUAAUGUUAUAAAGACAGUUGUCCAGUUUCAUGAAUCUUGUAGGUUUUUUUUUUUUGAUUUUUUUUCCAAAAUCAGUAUUGUAGAAAACUAUGCUGCCCCAGAAGAGAUGAUUGGACACUCUCAAGCGUGGUGCUGGACUUUGUCAUCUCUUGCACAGCCAUCUCCACACCUUAGUGCUUACCUCAUGUUAGUUUUUUAUAUUCUGCAAAGACGAAAUCAAAAUAAUCCAAAUUUGACACAAAUACCUGGGCUACAUCUUAUUUGAGAUGUUUAACAAUGUCUGGAUCAUCUUUUCUUAUAUAUUACGCAGGAAACACUGUGAAGUAAGCAAAGUUGGAAUGCCCAAGUGAAAGACCAUUUGAAUAUUUACAAGU